rnacentral:rRNA from 1 species
GAUGAGCGCUGGCGGCGUGCCUAAUACAUGCAAGUCGAGCGAACAGACGAGGAGCUUGCUCCUCUGACGUUAGCGGCGGACGGGUGAGUAACACGUGGAUAACCUACCUAUAAGUCUGGGAUAACUUCGGGACACCGGAGCUAAUACCGGAUAAUAUAUUGAACCGCAUGGGUCAAUAGUGAAAGACGGUUUUGCUGUCAGGUAUAGAUGGAUCCGCGCCGCAUGGGCUAGUUGGUAAGGUAACGGCUUACCAAGGCGACGAUGCGUAGCCGAGCUGCGAGGGGGAUCGCCCACAUUGGAACUGAGACACGCUCCAGACUCCUACGGGAGGCAGCAGUAGGGAAUCGGCCGCAAUGGGCGAAAGCCUGACGGAGCAACGCCGCGUGAGUGAUGAAGGUCUUCGGAGCGGAAAACUCUGUUAUUAGUGAAGAACAAAUGUGUAAGUAACUAUGCACGUCUUGACGGUACCUAAUAAGAAAGCCACGGCUAACUACGUG